GUGGUCUGCUCGUCAGGAAGUGCAGGAUCCAGUUCCAGAGGGCGGUGUCCAGACCCAGGGCUCUGAGUUUGGAAGGAACAAUAGUGUUGAAUGCUUAACUGUAGUCAAUGAACAGCGUUCUCACAUAGAUGUUUGUCUUGUCCAGAUGUGUUACGGAUGUGUCAAUAGCGAUGGAAAUGGCAUCUUCUGUGGAUCUAUUGGAGCGGUAGGCAAAUUGGACUGAGUCCAGUGUUCCUGGCAUGCUGGCCUUGAUGUGGGCCAUGACCAGCCUCUCAAAGCCCUUCAUGAUGACCGGGGUGGGGACUACAGCUUGGGACAGGGACCGGUUGAAAAUGUCAGAGAAUAUGCCUGCCAGCUGGUCAGCACACACUCUGAGGCCAGGGAUCCCAUAUGGCCUGGCGGAUUUAGUAAAAGGUCCCUGGGACUGAAGUCAUUGGAGGAAUGCAACGCUAUACUAACUAAACUAAAGCCAGGGUAACCCGACCCAGUCUCACCUUCCUC